rnacentral:lncRNA from 1 species
UGUCAAUCUCCAAGUGGAGUGUCAUGUGCCUUUCACUGAGGAGUGGCUUCCGUCUGGCCACUCUACCAUAAAGGCCUGAUUGGUGGAGUGCUGCAGAGAUGGUUGUCCUUCUGGAAGAUUCUCCCAUCUACUACAGAGGAACUCUAGAGCUCUGUCAGAGCGACCGUCGGGUUCUUGGUCACCUCCCUGACGAAUGUCUAAAAAGCUGUUUUCGCUUCGUCAUUAUGGAGCAUUGUGUGUACAUUGCUGAGAUGUUUUUAUUUAAUUUAUCCAUUUUAGAAUAAGGCUGUAACUUAACAAAAUGUGGAAAAAGCCAAGAGGUCUGAAUACUUUCCGAAGGCACUGUAUGUACCAGAAAGAGCACCCCCAUAUUCAUGCUGGACGGGAAGACGAGGUACAUUUGGAGAGGGGUCAUUUUUUGGCAGAGGAAAGACGGAAGAAAAAGUGUGCCUCAGGUAGAGCAUGGCGCUUGCAACGCCAGGGUUGAGGGUUCGAUUCUCACGGAGGGCCGGUACAAAAGGGGUGCAACAGGGAGGAGACAAGUGAAAAUACAGUAGAAGAGUACAAGAGAGAGACAGGAUCCAGGUUAAAGGUCAUCCAACUUGUUUACCCUGAGUGAGGGAUUCUGUUAUGAUGAACCCAGAAGCAGACCAGGACAAGGUGAGUUGAACCAAGGUGAGUAUUUAUUUACAGACUCAAAUGUGAAAGCAGAAUAAUCCAGGAGACGGAGCGGGCAGCGGAGGUGAGUUGGUGAGAGUGAAUAGGCAGAUCCAAUGAUGUCACAGAAGCCCCGACGACCAGGCAGGGGUGGGGUGAAUGUUCCGGGAGAAUGACUGUAGACAGAGUAAGCGGAGGUGAGUACACUGCAAGCAAAACAAAUACAGAACAACAAAACUAACUCUAGUAAACUUGAGGCUGAUACGCUGACACAACAUACUGUUCAUAGCUAACGAUCCAGCAGGGAAUGGAUGUCAGGUCAGGGCUUAUGAAGAGAAGAGGUGAUGAUCAGGACCAGGUGUGCAGAUAGCUGAUGAGAUGCAGGUGCGGGUAAUUGAUAGAUCUCCCGCCUAGCUUCGUCGCCCGGCAACCAGACAGGGUGCGUUCAGGAACCUCAGGAAACAGACUCCGAGACAGAAAAUAGGCAACUCAGGCAGAAAACAGACUCAGGAAGCGGGAUUCAUGACAUCCAAAACUUGUAAUGAAAUCCAAAACUUUCCAGGUUUCCAACACCCAGCAAUAAUUAUGUUUGUUGCAGAUACUAAAUUAAAAGGACAUUACAAUUGUUUGUG